rnacentral:rRNA from 1 species
GAUUGAACGCUGGCGGUAUGCUUAACACAUGCAAGUCGAACGGAAACGAUACUAGCUUGCUAGUAGGCGUCGAGUGGCGGACGGGUGAGUAACGCGUAGGAAUCUGCCUGAUAGUGGGGGAUAGCCCGAAGAAAUUCGGAUUAAUACCGCAUAAUCUAUUCGUAGUAAAGUGGGGGACUUUCGAGCCUCACGCUAUCAGAUGAGCCUGCGUAAGAUUAGCUUGUUGGUAGGGUAAAAGCCUACCAAGGCGACGAUCUUUAGCUGGUCUGAGAGGAUGAUCAGCCACAUCGGGACUGAGACACGGCCCGAACUCCUACGGGAGGCAGCAGUGGGGAAUAUUGGACAAUGGGGGCAACCCUGAUCCAGCAAUACCGCGUGUGUGAAGAAGGCCUGAGGGUUGUAAAGCACUUUCAAUUGUGAAGAAAAGUUAGCGGUUAAUAACCGUUAGCCUUGACGUUAACUUUAGAAGAAGCACCGGCUAACUCCGUGCCAGCAGCCGCGGUAAUACGGAGGGUGCAAGCGUUAAUCGGAAUUACUGGGCGUAAAGCGUGCGUAGGCGGUUUAUUAAGUCAGAUGUGAAAGCCCCGGGCUUAACCUGGGAACUGCAUUUGAAACUGGUCAACUAGAGUAUGGUAGAGGAAAGUGGAAUUUCUGGUGUAGCGGUGAAAUGCGUAGAUAUCAGAAGGAACAUCAAUGGCGAAGGCAGCUUUCUGGACCAAUACUGACGCUGAGGUACGAAAGCGUGGGUAGCAAACAGGAUUAGAUACCCUGGUAGUCCACGCCGUAAACGAUGAUAACUAGCCGUUGGGGGGAUUUACCCUUUAGUGGCGAAGCUAACGCGUUAAGUUAUCCGCCUGGGGAGUACGGCCGCAAGGUUAAAACUCAAAGGAAUUGACGGGGACCCGCACAAGCGGUGGAGCAUGUGGUUUAAUUCGAUGCAACGCGAAGAACCUUACCUGGUCUUGACAUCCUGCGAACUUUCUAGAAAUAGAUUGGUGCCUUCGGGAACGCAGUGACAGGUGCUGCAUGGCUGUCGUCAGCUCGUGUCGUGAGAUGUUGGGUUAAGUCCCGUAACGAGCGCAACCCCUAUCCUUAUUUGCCAGCACAUCAUGGUGGGAACUAUAAGGAGACUGCCGGUGAUAAACCGGAGGAAGGCGGGGACGACGUCAAGUCAUCAUGGCCCUUACGACCAGGGCUACACACGUGCUACAAUGGGAAGGACAAAGAGCCGCGAAGCCGCGAGGUGUAGCUAAUCUCAUAAACCUUUUCGUAGUCCGGAUUGGAGUCUGCAACUCGACUCCAUGAAGUCGGAAUCGCUAGUAAUCGUAGAUCAGAAUGCUACGGUGAAUACGUUCCCGGGUCUUGUACACACCGCCCGUC